UCACCGAGCCUGCGACCGGUUCAAGAGCAGCAUGGUUCUUCAUGGUACUGCAGUGUUGAACAGGAAGGUCUUAAACCUGUAUGUGUGGUCUACCUUCUUAGAUCACAGGAGGACGCUACCAGGAACUGACUGCCUAGAAUUCCAGAGCCUGCUUCCACACCACUUUUUGACCCCUUCCCUAGUGACACCU